GACGAACGCUGGCGGCGUGCUUAACACAUGCAAGUCGAACGGAAAGGCCCUGCUUGCAGGGUGCUCGAGUGGCGAACGGGUGAGUAACACGUGGGUGAUCUGCCCCUUACUCUGGGAUAAGCCUGGGAAACUGGGUCUAAUACUGGAUAGGACCAUGCUGUAGGUGGUGUGGGGGAAAGAUUUUUUCGGUAAGGGAUGAGCUCGCGGCCUAUCAGCUUGUUGGUGGGGUAAUGGCCUACCAAGGCGUCGACGGGUAGCCGGACUGGGAGGGGGGACGGGCACAUUCACACUGGGACACAGCCCAGACUCCUACGGGAGGCGGCGGUAGGAGUUAUUGCUAAAUGGGCGUAAGCCUGAUGCAGCGACGCCGCGUGGGGGAUGACGGCCUUCGGGUUGUAAACUCCUUUCAGCCAUGACGAGGCCUCUGUUGGAGUGACGGUAGUGGUAGAAGAAGCACCGGCUAACUACGUG
rnacentral:rRNA from 1 species